rnacentral:rRNA from 1 species
GAUGAACGCUGGCGGCGUGCCUAAUACAUGCAAGUCGAGCGAACAGACGAGGAGCUUGCUCCUCUGACGUUAGCGGCGGACGGGUGAGUAACACGUGGAUAACCUACCUAUAAGACUGGGGUAACUUCGGGAAACCGGGGCUAAUACCGGAUAAUAUAAUGAACCGCAUGGUUCACUAGUGAAAGACGGUUUUGCUGUCACUUCAAGAUGGAUCCGCGCCGCAUUAGCUAGUUGGUAAGGUAACGGCUUACCAAGGCAACGAUGCGUAGCCGACCUGAGAGGGUGAUCGGCCACACUGGAACUGAGACACGGUCCAGACUCCGACGGGAGGCAGCAGUAGGGAAUCUUCCGCAAUGGGCGAAAGCCUGACGGAGCAACGCCGCGUGAGUGAUGAAGGUCUUCGGAUCGUAAAACUCUGUUAUUAGGGAAGAACAAAUGUGUAAGUAACUAUGCACGUCUUGACGGUACCUAAUCAGAAAGCCACGGCUAACUACGUG